AACAUCAUAGAUGGUUUGUGAUUACACUCCAAAUCAACGGUUGCAACAUGAGGGGAAAAAAGAUAAUUUUCCACAAUAUCCAAAUCACAAACUGCACCAUUUGAAACCACUAAUUUGAAGAUCCACAUCAACGUUUGCAACAUCCUAAGUGUACCGAAAGAGAGGAAACUGGAAGCGGGGAAUUGGUCCGACAACCAGAGCUCCAUGGUUUUGCCUACUGAUUCAUCUUGCCUCCAUGCAUCAGUGCUAGACUGCUAGGGCCUAGGGCUCUCCUUCGUAUGCCACGGCCGCCGCUCCUCCCCUCCAGGGUCGGCGCUAGGCGGUUCCUUUCAUUCGUCUUCCGCAGUCAUGGAAGCUCCUCUCUCCAAGGCCCCAAAUCAACACGCAGUCGAGGCAGCUCCUCGCCUCUGCCUUCCACCGCCGGAGACAGCUCUUGACCUCCGCGAGCCGCUGUGCUCACGUUCGCGAGCAGCUAGGCCUAAGGAUUUGUGAUGCGUCGGCGCCGCCUGUGAAGUGGUCGUCACUCGGCCGCGGCGGAGAAAUGAGUGGUACUGCAGAGGGAUAGAAAAUGUUCC
rnacentral:lncRNA from 1 species